GUCCACGCCGUAAACGAUGGAUACUAGCUGUUGGGAGCAAUUUCAGUGGCUAAGCGAAAGUGAUAAGUAUCCCACCUGGGGAGUACGUUCGCAAGAAUGAAACUCAAAGGAAUUGACGGGGGCCCCGCACAAGCGGUGGAGCAUGUGGUUUAAUUCGAUGAUACGCGAGGAACCUUACCAAGGCUUAAAUGGGAAACGACAGAUUUGGAAACAGAUUUUUCUUCGGACGUUUUUCAAGGUGCUGCAUGGUUGUCGU
rnacentral:rRNA from 1 species